rnacentral:rRNA from 1 species
GAUGUUGGCUUAGAAGCAGCCACUCAUUAAAAGAGUGCGUAAUAGCUCACUGGUCGAGUGACCCUGCGCCGAAAAUUUAACGGGGCUAAACCAUGUACCGAAGCUUGGGAUUGCAUACUUGUAUGCAAUGGUAGGAGAGCGUUCCAUAUGGGGCGAAGUCAGAGCGGAAGCGCUGGUGGACUGUAUGGAAGUGAGAAUGCCGGAAUGAGUAGCGAGAAUUAUGUGAGAAUCAUAAUGGCCGAAAGUCUAAGGUUUUUGAAGGAAGGUUCGUCCGCUUCAAGAUAGCCGGGAGCUAAGGCGAGGCCGAAAGGCGUAGUCGAUGCACAUACGGUUGAUAUUCCGUAGCCGUCCGAAGAUUUAAGCAAGGGGACACUUUGAAAGCGCAUGACCCGGGCGAUGGUAGCCCCGGGCGAAAGGGACUGAAAUUCAAGUAGGGAAGCAUGCGUGGACGAAGGCGAGAAAAGCCUUGUGUAUAUCGAGGAUGCCCGUACCGCAAACCGACACAGGUAGACAGGAAGAGGAUUCUAAGGCCAACGGGAGAAGGGUAGUUAAGGAACUCGGCAAAUUGACCCCGUAACUUCGGGAAAAGGGGUGCUCUGGAAACAGAGCCGCAGUGAAUAGGCCCAGGCAACUGUUUAGCAAAAACACAGGUCUCUGCAAAAUCGAAAGAUGAAGUAUAGGGGCUGACACCUGCCCAGUGCUGGAAGGUUAAGAGGAGGGGUGCAAGCUCCGAAUCGAAGCCCCAGUGAACGGCGGCCGUAACUAUAACGGUCCUAAGGUAGCGAAAUUCCUUGUCGGGUAAGUUCCGACCCGCACGAAUGGUGUAAUGAUCUGGGCACUGUCUCAACUACCCGCCCGGCGAAAUUGUAGUACCGGUGAAGAUGCCGGUUACCCGCGACAAGACGGAAAGACCCCAUGGAGCUUCACUGCAGCUUAAUAUUGGGUUUCGAUAUUUUAUGUACAGGAUAGGCGGGAGACUAGGAAGCAGAGGCGCCAGCCUUUGUGGAGUCAACCUUGGGAUACCGCUCUUAAAGUAUUGGAAUUCUAACCUGCGGCCAUGAAUCUGGCCGGGGGACAUUGUUAGGCGGGCAGUUUGACUGGGGCGGUCGCCUCCAAAAGAGUAACGGAGGCGCUCAAAGGUUCGCUCAGCACGGACGGAAACCGUGCCUUAGAGUGUAAACGCAUAAGCGAGCCUAACUGCGAGACCGACGGGUCGAGCAGUAACGAAAGUUGGAGUUAGUGAUCCGGCGGUAUGAGAGUGGAAUUGCCGUCGCUCAACGGAUAAAAGCUACCCUGGGGAUAACAGGCUGAUCUCCCCCAAGAGUCCACAUCGACGGGGAGGUUUGGCACCUCGAUGUCGGCUCAUCACAUCCUGGGGCUGUAGUAGGUCCCAAGGGUUCGGCUGUUCGCCGAUUAAAGUGGUACGCGAGCUGGGUUCAGAACGUCGUGAGACAGUUCGGUCCCUAUCUGUCGCGGGCGCAGGAUAUUUGAAGGGCUCUGUCCUUAGUACGAGAGGACCGGGAUGGACGUACCUCUGGUGCACCAGUUGUCACGCCAGUGGCACAGCUGGGCAGCUAAGUACGGUGCGGAUAAACGCUGAAAGCAUCUAAGCGUGAAGCCGACCCUAAGAUAAGAUAUCCCACUGAGUAAUCAGGUAAGGUCCCAGGAAGACUACCUGGUAGAUAGGCUGCAUGUGUAAGAGCAGUGAUGUUUUUAGCUUGGCAGUACUAAUAGACCGAGGGCUUGACCU